UUACUUACCUGGCAGGGGAGAUGAUCAAGAAGGUGGUUUGCCCAGGGUGAGGCUCAGCUAUUGCACUCCGGCUGUGCUGACUCCUGCGAAUUCCCCAAAUGUGGGAAUCUCGACUGCAUAAUUUCUGGUAGUGGGGGACUGCGUUCGCACUCUCCCCGA